rnacentral:rRNA from 1 species
CCGCCCGUCGCUCCUACCGAUUGAAUGAUCCGGUGAAGUGUUCGGAUCGCGGCGACGCUGGUGGUUCGCCGUCCGCGACGUCGCGAGAAGUCCACUAAACCUUAUCAUUUAGAGGAAGGAGAAGUCGUAACAAGGUUUCCGUAGGUGAACCUGCGGAAGGAUCAUUGUCGAUACCUGUCCAAAACAGAACGACCGGCGAACGAAAGAUCAUCACUUCCGGYGGGCCGGUUUCCCUCGCGGAUCUCGCGCCCGCCGAUUCCGUGGUUCUGCGCGAUGUUCCCAGGAAUAGUUUCGGCUCGACUGGGUCGCGCGCAGAGCUUCCGGAUCUCACAAAACCCCGGCACGAAAAGUGCCAAGGAACAUGCAACCUAMCAGCUCGCAUCCGCCGCCCCGGAGACGGUGSGCGCGCGGAUGACAGGCUGGAUCUAAAGUCUAAAACGACUCUCGGCAACGGAUAUCUCGGCUCUCGCAUCGAUGAAGAACGUAGCGAAAUGCGAUACUUGGUGUGAAUUGCAGAAUCCCGUGAACCAUCGAGUCUUUGAACGCAAGUUGCGCCCCAAGCCUUCGGGCCGAGGGCACGUCUGCCUGGGUGUCACAAAUCGUCGUCCCCCCAUCCAUUCCGGAYAAGGGACGGAAGCUGGUCUCCCGUUUGUUACCGCAAGCGGCUGGCCAAAAUCCGAGCUCAUGACGACCGGAUCGUCUCGACAYGCGGUGGUGAAACAAAAGCCUAUUCGUCAAGUCGGUCGGUCCUGUCCAUCGCGAGCUCUCGAUGACCC